rnacentral:lncRNA from 1 species
AGAAAACUGAGGAAAUUUUAUUAUUCUCCUUUACAUUGGAGCAUUUUCACCUAACAAAGAGUUAGCAAAUCUCUUCUCUGAUCUAGACAUGUUUACACUAUGUGUUUCUGUGCUCAAGAUAAGCUUUCAUUUUUCUACUUUCAAAACAAAAUAGCUUAAUAAUGAAUACAACUGCACUCUGCUUUUAAUGGCUUAUAGACUUACAUGAUUCUUAAAUGCAUAAUUCACAGAACUAUUAAAUAACUGCAGCUACAUACACAGUCCUAAAUAAAAUAUCAGGUUUAAAAUCCAAAGUACAAAGACCAUUAAAAACAGUUUAUUUGCCAAAUCCACUGAGAAACUAGAAGCAACCUAACAGCUGUCUAAAUAACCACAAAAUAUUAAAAACACUUCUGGCUCAAUAUAAAUGACAUCUGAAGUGAAAUGUUGCCUCCUCCAACAGACAUCUCAUUUGUUUGUGUAGAACCAUUUAUACUUCAUUUAAGCCAGCUGGUGUCUCCAUUUGCAGGCAUGCAUCAAUGUCUACAGAACAAUCUAAGUUCCUGUAAACCCUUCCCCAUUCACAAGCUGCAAUUUCCAUUCUUAAUGGCAAGUUUCCAGCAAAUACAAUGAGCUUUUAC